UCCGGCUUAUCACCGGCGGUUUCCUUAGAGUGCUCAACUAAAUGGUCGCAACAUAGAACGAGGGUUGCGCUCGUUGCGGGACUUAACCCAACAUCUCACGGCACGAGCUGACGACAGCCGUGCAGCACCUGUGCUGGUGUCCCGAAGGAGGGCCCUGCUUUCACAAGGCUUUCACCAGCAUGUCAAACCCAGGUAAGGUUCUUCGCGUUGCGUCGAAUUAAACCACAUGCUCCGCUGCUUGUGCGGGCCCCCGUCAAUUCCUUUGAGUUUUAGCCUUGCGGCCGUACUCCCCAGGCGGGGCACUUAAUGCGUUAGCGGCGGCACGGGAGGAGUCGACACCUCCCACACCUAGUGCCCAUCGUUUACGGCGUGGACUAC
rnacentral:misc_RNA from 1 species